rnacentral:rRNA from 1 species
GCAGCGACGCCGCGUGGAGGAAGAAGGUCUUCGGAUUGUAAACUCCUGUUGUUGAGGAAGAUAAUGACGGUACUCAACAAGGAAGUGACGGCUAACUACGUGCCAGCAGCCGCGGUAAAACGUAGGUCACAAGCGUUGUCCGGAAUUACUGGGUGUAAAGGGAGCGCAGGCGGGAAGACAAGUUGGAAGUGAAAUCCAUGGGCUCAACCCAUGAACUGCUUUCAAAACUGUUUUUCUUGAGUAGUGCAGAGGUAGGCGGAAUUCCCGGUGUAGCGGUGGAAUGCGUAGAUAUCGGGAGGAACACCAGUGGCGAAGGCGGCCUACUGGGCACCAACUGACGCUGAGGCUCGAAAGUGUGGGUAGCAAACAGGAUUAGAUACCCUGGUAGUCCACACUGUAAACGAUGAUUACUAGGUGUUGGAGGAUUGACCCCUUCAGUGCCGCAGUUAACACAAUAAGUAAUCCACCUGGGGAGUACGACCGCAAGGUUGAAACUCAAUG